rnacentral:rRNA from 1 species
UACAGAGGUGGCAAGCGUUGUUCGGAAUUACUGGGCGUAAAGGGCGCGUAGGCGGUCCUGUAAGUCCUGUGUGAAAUCCCCCGACUCAACUGGGGAAUUGCACGGGAAACUGCGGGGCUUGAGUUCGGGAGAGGGAAGCGGAAUUCCGGGUGUAGCGGUGAAAUGCGUAGAUAUCCGGAGGAACACCGGUGGCGAAGGCGGCUUCCUGGACCGACACUGACGCUGAGGCGCGAAAGCUAGGGGAGCAAACGGG